rnacentral:rRNA from 1 species
AGAGUUUGAUCCUGGCUCAGAACGAACGCUGGCGGCGUGCUUAACACAUGCAAGUCGAACGCGAAAGGGACUUCGGUCCUGAGUAGAGUGGCGCACGGGUGAGUAACGCGUAAGUGAUCUACCCCUGUAUUUGGGAUAACUAUGGGAAACUGUAGCUAAUACCGGAUACGUUCAUGUAGUUGCGAUUAUGUGAAGAAAGAUGGCCUCUGAUUCAAGCUAUUGUACAGGGAGGAGCUUGCGUACCAUUAGCUAGUUGGUAGGGUAAUGGCCUACCAAGGCAACGAUGGUUAGCGGGUCUGAGAGGAUGAUCCGCCACACUGGAACUGAAACACGGACCAGACUCCUACGGGAGGCAGCAGUGAGGAAUAUUGCGCAAUGGGGGCAACCCUGACGCAGCGACGCCGCGUGGAUGAUGAAGGCCUUCGGGUCGUAAAAUCCUGUCAGAUGGAAAGAAGUGUGAUGUGGUUAAUACCCAUGUCAUUUGACGGUACCAUCAGAGGAAGCACCGGCUAACUCCGUGCCAGCAGCCGCGGUAAUACGGAGGGUGCAAGCGUUGUUCGGAAUUACUGGGCGUAAAGCGCGCGUAGGCGGUUUGUUAAGUCAGAUGUGAAAGCCCAGGGCUUAACCUUGGACGUGCAUUUGAAACUGGCAGACUUGAGUAUUGGAGGGGGUGGUGGAAUUCCCGGUGUAGAGGUGAAAUUCGUAGAUAUCGGGAGGAAUACCGGUGGCGAAGGCGACCACCUGGCCAAAUACUGACGCUGAGGUGCGAAAGCGUGGGGAGCAAACAGGAUUAGAUACCCUGGUAGUCC